rnacentral:misc_RNA from 1 species
GAUGAAGAACGCAGCGAAAUGCGAUAAGUAAUGUGAAUUGCAGAAUUCCGUGAAUCAUCGAAUCUUUGAACGCACAUUGCGCCCCCUGGCAUUCCGGGGGGCAUGCCUGUCCGAGCGUCAUUUCUGCCCUCCAGCCCGGCUGGGUGUUGGGCGCUGUCCCCCCGGGGACACGCCCCAAAGGCAGUGGCGGCGCCGCGUCGGGUCCUCGAGCGUAUGGGGCUUUGUCACCCGCUCGGGACGGACUCGUCGGCGCUGGUCUUCCUCAAGGCGACCCUUCGGGGCUCGUCUUCCUUCGGUUGACCUCGGAUCAGGUAGGGUUACCCGCUGAACUUAAGCAUAUCAAUAAGCGGAGGA